rnacentral:rRNA from 1 species
GAUACUGGGCGUAAGCGCGCGCAGGCGGUUUGUUAAGUCAGAUGUGAAGCCCCGGGCUUCAACCUGGGAACUGCAUUUGAAACUG